rnacentral:rRNA from 1 species
AGAGUUUGAUCCUGGCUCAGAUUGAACGCUGGCGGCAUGCCUUACACAUGCAAGUCGAACGGUAACAGCACUUCGGUGGCUGACGAGUGGCGAACGGGUGAGUAAUACAUCGGAACGUGCCCGAGAGUGGGGGAUAACGCAGCGAAAGCUGUGCUAAUACCGCAUACGAUCUACGGAUGAAAGCAGGGGACCGCAAGGCCUUGCGCUCAUGGGGCGGCCGAUGGCAGAUUAGGUAGUUGGUGGGAUAAAAGCUUACCAAGCCGACGAUCUGUAGCUGGUCUGAGAGGACGACCAGCCACACUGGGACUGAGACACGGCCCAGACUCCUACGGGAGGCAGCAGUGGGGAAUUUUGGACAAUGGGCGAAAGCCUGAUCCAGCCAUGCCGCGUGCAGGAUGAAGGCCUUCGGGUUGUAAACUGCUUUUGUACGGAACG